GCUCCUAUAGGCUAACUGGAAAAACCAUAACGCUACGGACGUUAAAUUAGGGGUUCGAAUCCUCUUGGGAGUGCCA
rnacentral:tRNA from 1 species